rnacentral:rRNA from 1 species
AAUAGAUACCCCGGUAGUCCAUGCCGUAAACGUUGGGCGCUAGAUGUGGGGACCAUUCCACGGUUUCCGUGUCGCAGCUAACGCAUUAAGCGCCCCGCCUGGGGAGUACGGCCGCAAGGCUAAAACUCAAAGGAAUUGACGGGGGGCCCGCACAAGCGGCGGAGCAUGCGGAUUAAUUCGAUGCAACGCGAAGAACCUUACCAAGGCUUGACAUAUACGAGAACGCUCUAGAAAUAGAGAACUCUUUGGACACUCGUAUACAGGUGGUGCAUGGUUGUCGUCAGCUCGUGUCGUGAGAUGUUGGGUUAAGUCCCGCAACGAGCGCAACCCUCGUUCUAUGUUGCCAGCGGUUCGGCCGGGAACUCAUAGGAGACUGCCGGGGUCAACUCGGAGGAAGGUGGGGAUGACGUCAAAUCAUCAUGCCCCUUAUGUCUUGGGCUUCACGCAUGCUACAAUGGCCGGUACAAAGGGCUGCAAUACCGUAAGGUGGAGCGAAUCCCAAAAACGCCGGUCUCGAGUUCGGAUUGAGGUCUGC